CCUACGGGAGGCAGCAGUGGGGAAUAUUGCACAAUGGGCGCAAGCCUGAUGCAGCCAUGCCGCGUGUGUGAAGAAGGCCUUCGGGUUGUAAAGCACUUUCAGCGGGGAGGAAGGCGGUGAGGUUAAUAACCUCAUCGAUUGACGUUACCCGCAGAAGAAGCACCGGCUAACUCCGUGCCAGCAGCCGCGGUAAUACGGAGGGUGCAAGCGUUAAUCGGAAUUACUGGGCGUAAAGCGCACGCGGGCGGUCUGUCAAGUCGGAUGUGAAAUCCCCGGGCUCAACCUGGGAACUGCAUUCGAAACUGGCAGGCUAGAGUCUUGUAGAGGGGGGUAGAAUUCCAGGUGUAGCGGUGAAAUGCGUAGAGAUCUGGAGGAAUACCGGUGGCGAAGGCGGCCCCCUGGACAAAGACUGACGCUCAGGUGCGAAAGCGUGGGGAGCAAACAGGAUUAGAUACCCGAGUAGUC
rnacentral:rRNA from 1 species